rnacentral:tRNA from 1 species
GCAAUGAUGGUUCAGUGGUAGAAUUCUCAUCUUUCAUGUGAGAGACCUGAGUUCGAUUUUUGGCCAACGCG